CCUUUUUAAGUCUGUCAUCAAAUCCUAGGGCUCAACCCUGGACAGGUGGUGGAAACUACCAAGUUGGAGUAUGGUAGGGGUAGAGGGAAUUUUCAGUUGAGCGGUGAAAUAUGUAGAGAUGAAAAAGAACACCAAUGUUUAAAUUUCACCACUUAUCAAUGUUAAC
rnacentral:ncRNA from 1 species